CUCCUUCCCCUUUUUGCACACACUCUGAAGUAACAAAAUUUUCUUCAAAUGUAACAUGGCAAAGUGAUUGGCAAUGAGGUAAUUCUGCAUCAGAACAAUCAAAAUCAUAAACUUGAUAUGGACAUAUGGUCUGAGCGUUUGCUGAGAGAAUCUGAGUCAUUACGAAAAUCGCUGCAAAACGAAACAUUAAAAAAAUGGUAUCAAAAAUACUAUAUCAUUCUUAACUAGUAUCUUCGAUACGAAACAUAUGCAUGUGUGAAUUUUUACAAAAAUUAUAACACAUCUUAUAUUUUGAACACUUUAUUUCAAAAGUGUAAUGGAAUUAUUAUUAGCAAGAAAAUUUCUAAUCAAACCAAAAUAAAAUCAAGUCUAGAUAAAUCAUAUUAUAAUUUCGUUUUUAGGGAAAAAAUUUUAGUUCUUGCAAAAAUUGAAAAACUAUUAUAUAGGUGCCAACUUUUGCAAAAUUGAUACAUAUUCAUUUUAGGAAUACACACAUGGGAGAUCCCUUCAUUUGCUUUAAUUUUUUUUCAUCUAACUAAUCACAACAAAAAUAGAAAAAAAAUGAAAAAAAACAACAACAAUAACCUAUCAAUAAUACACUCAGUAUAAUCUCACAAGUAAGAUCUGAAGAGAAUAGGAUAUACGCAGACUUCACCUCUAUCUUUGUAAAUAGAGAGGCUAAUUCCAAUAGACUCGACAGAAAACAAAAGAAUUGGAAUCAUGGAAAAGAGAAAAGCAUGAAUAAAAAUAAAUAUAUAAAAUAAAUAACAAUAGGUGUAUACAUACCAAAAAUAUAAGCAAGAAAGAAAAUAGAAGAACGAAAACAUGCA
rnacentral:lncRNA from 1 species